rnacentral:lncRNA from 1 species
UGAUAUACAUGAUCGAGUUUGAAACUUAAUAAUUUAAGAUUUUAGAAAAAAAUUUGGAUUUGACAUGUAUACCAAAUCCCUUUGGUAAAAGGACUCUCUUGUCUCUUUGAUAAGUGGUAUAAGCUCUUGGAGAGUAUCACUAAUUUUGCACGGAACUUGAGGUGGAGUAAUGGAUUUGAGACAAGCGCGUUGUGCUUGAAAAGUGAGCUCUUGAAGGAGGAGUAAUCAGGAUGAAGCUUGAUAGGAAAGUAAUGGAUUGAACUUAAGAAGUUGAAAUCGACUCGCACAGGAAGGGGGGAGAUUAUUGAGGAUCAUUAAGGUUUAAGUCUUAUAUAAAAUAAUUAGUAAGAGGUAGAAUUGGUAUAAUUAAUCUCAUAAGAUUAUGAAAAACUUCUUUUUCACAAGAUCAUAGCUCAUGUACACCUCUGGCUUUUGUGGGAACUGUUUGUGAAUAUCUGUUAGGCAUCCAAACAAGAUAGAUAUGGACAAGCGCCUCUGACCCAUGGGAUGAAAUGGUCAGGCAUUACACGUACAACUAGGAUGAUAUAGAAAUCCCAUGAUUCGGUUACUGUUAUCAUAAAAACAUUAUACUGAAAUUGCAAGACUAUUGCGUAUCUUCAUAUAUUGUUGUCAUUGCAAUUUGUUUACCACCUC